UACGAAGGGGGCUAGCGUUGCUCGGAAUCACUGGGCGUAAAGGGUGCGUAGGCGGGUCUUAAGUCAGGGGUGAAAUCCUGGAGCUCAACUCCAGAACUGCCUUUGAUACUGGCGAUCUCGAGUCCGGGAGAGGUGAGUGGAACUGCGAGUGUAGAGGUGAAAUUCGUAGAUAUUCGCAAGAACACCAGUGGCGAAGGCGGCUCACUGGCCCGGUACUGACGCUGAGGCGCGAAAGCGUGGGGAGCGAACAGG
rnacentral:rRNA from 1 species